GCGGAUGGCUGGAUGACCGCGGGCUUCGGCCCGAGGAAAGUCCGGACUCCGGCAGGCACGGUGCCGGGUAACGCCCGGCGGGGGCGACCCCAGGGACAGCGCCACAGAGAACAGACCGCCCCGCAUGCGGGGUAAGGGUGAAACGGUGGGGUAAGAGCCCACCGGGGACCGGGCAACCGGGCCCGCAUGGCAAGCCCCACCGGGAGCAAUGCCGAAUAGGGGCCUCGCGCGGGGAAACCCGCAGGGACGCCUGCACCCGAGAGGCCCGGGUUGGCAGCUGGAGGCGCGUCGGCAACGGCGCGUCGAGAGGAAUGGUCAUCCAUCCGGGGGCGACCCCGGGGGACAGAAUCCGGCUUACAGGCCGUCCGCGCAC
rfam:Oceanicola granulosus HTCC2516 scf_1099521380028 genomic scaffold, whole genome shotgun sequence.